rnacentral:rRNA from 1 species
GAUAAACGCUGGCGGCGUGCCUAAAACAUGCAAGUCGAACGGGCAUCGGCCUUCGGGCUGGUGCCAGUGGCGGACGGCUGAGUAACACGUGGGUGACCUGCCCUCGAGCGGGGGAGUAACUGCCCGAAAGGGUGGCUAAUACCGCAGAUGUCGGUGCUUCGGUGUGCUGACUGAACCGUUUAGGGUUCGAGGAGGGGCCCGCGGCCGAUUAGGUUGCUGGUGGGGUAAUGGCCUACCAGGGCCGCGAUCGGUAGCUGGUCUGAGAGGAUGAUCAGCCAGACUGGGACUGCGAGACGGCCCAGACUCCUACGGGAGGCAGCAGUUAGGAAUUUUGGGCAAUGGGGGAAACCCUGACCCAGCAACGCCGCGUGGGUGAUGAAGGCC